UACGUAGGAGGCAAGCGUUUGUCCGGAAUUACUGGGCGUAAAGAGCGCGUAGGUGGUCUUGUACGACCGCUGUGAAAGCCCCCGGCUCAACCCCUGGAUGCGGGUGGAUACUGCUGGGCUAGAGUCCGGAAGAGGCGAGUGGAAUUCCUGGUGUAGCGGUGGAAUGCGCAGAUAUCAGGAGGAACACCGGUGGCGAAGGCGGGUCUCUGGGCAGUAACUGACGCUGAGGAGCGAAAGCGUGGGGAGCGAACAGG
rnacentral:rRNA from 1 species